rnacentral:snRNA from 1 species
CCGGAAUCUCUAUAAUAAACU